ACUGCUCUGCCGGCCUGGAAGGAGUUGUUCUUCAAUGACCCCAUGUACCCUCCUGGUGUCCUUACAGCAGGUUGCUGCAGGCUGUAUCUGCUUCCCAGAGGCUUUGACAGCUUUAUAAAGCGUAAAAGAAAGUUAGGGUCACAUGGCAAAGAAGCAUUAUGGGUUGUUCUGUUUCUGAGAGUGCAAUGAAGCAGCCAUAAUCUUCCAGCAUUCUUAUGGAUCUGUUUCUUUGGGAUUCAUCAAGAAGAGCCCUAAAGAGGCUGAAGUCAUCUGUCCUGAAAUCCAUGGUUGCAAUCUUCCUUGCUUCCCUGCUUCUUCCUUGCCCAUUGCUGAACUCCACAAUCUCAGGGUCACUGUGGCCAAGGCAGCACCUCCAACCUUCACAUCUCUGACAAGGCCUUCCCUGUUUGUCACUAUGAGGCAAACAUUCCUUGUGGGAUCCUCCACUGCCUCUGUCAGGAAGCUGCCAUCAAUUUACAGGAGCUUCCUAGACUGUGUGUGCUUUGUUGUGUUACUUCAACCACCUGAAUAAGAAUGAUCUGGGGUGCUGAUUAAAAAAGAACAUAAAGUCGCAACAGUAAAGGUUGCUUGCUCCAGUUGGUUUCUGGUAAUUAUGAAGUAGAAUAUUGAAGUGUAAUAAUAAUGCAAGAAGUAAUUUAGAAAGUGCUGAUAUAAAGGUGACGAAAUAGCUAAGAAAAAGCACAUCUGAAUUGAUAUGGCUAAUAGAUGACUAUGAUAUUUUAUAACAGGAGAAAAUAUGGGUGGGAAGGAUGUUUCAUUAAAGCUAUCUUUCAGGUAAUUUCUGUUUGCAAGUGGAAUCAAUUUGCACAGACCACACUUUUAAUAUAAGAGAAAAACAUUUAACUUAAGGAAACAAGGAGAAUUUACCACGCACAGCAGGUUUGUCAUAGUGAUGUUCAGAUCUCACUGUACAUGUGGUCCAGUGCUCAUGGAUCCCUCUGAGCUGUGCGAUGAAGAAGAGGUAAUCCAUACACAUCCUAUCCCUCUGGGAGACAUUAUGUGAGCAAAACCAGACUUGACACCCAAGCUGGCUGUGCUCCUCUUUUGCUUGCUCCUUUGCCUCCAUAAAUGAAACUUUGCUUUGCAUUGGAUCUCCACAAAAAAUUUGAUUUUUUGGGGAUGUUCAGGUUUUUGCUAAUUGCAGGUGGAAGACCACAUUUGAGUUGUUGCACAUACACAAUUUUACUUCAUGUAAAUAGUAACAAGCUGCUUGCCCUGGGAAAGAUUACCUGGAUGCAGGUUCAGAGGUACAUUCUGGUGCAACACUAAGGACUCAGGCAAUUCUGCCUCUGCCAGUCUGACUGUAUGGCAAACAAAAAAACAAUAACUUCUACCAAGCUGAAUUCUACCAGUGCAUUUAGCUUCUAGAUAUUUGCAAGCUCACACUUUUCUAUAAUUUAAUAAUAGUAGUGCAAGUUAAUUGAAUUUAAUUUAAUCAAAACUGAAAGAUGGUAACAUAUGAUUGAUGAGAAGCCUCUAAAAAAGAUGUUCCAGGCUUGACUACCUGACACACUAGAAAUUAGAAAUUUUCUAUCUCUUAAUAACAAUUUACAUCCUAUUACAUGUUUUAUGUAUUCAAAAUUAAAGCAUUCUUUUUCCUCAUUUAUUUACCCCAGAUGUACAGAUAAAAAAAUUCCUCCUGGUCUUCAUUUUACUUGACUGAAAGUCAGUUCAUCUAAACUCACCUCUUAUGAAGCCUUGGUCAUUGCUCAGAGCAUACCAGUACUUAUUCUUUACAUCUGUUUUACAUCUGAUUUCCUUGUACCUAAAUAUGUGUUGUGAAGUCUGUAUUUUAAAU